rnacentral:rRNA from 1 species
UGACGACCAUAGAACAUUGGAACCACCUGAUCCCAUCCCGAACUCAGCAGUGAAACGAUGCAUCGCCGAUGGUAGUGUGGGGUUUCCCCAUGUGAGAGUAGGUCAUCGUCAAGAUU